rnacentral:rRNA from 1 species
CCUACGGGGGGCAGCAGUAGGGAAUCUUCGGCAAUGGACGGAAGUCUGACCGAGCAACGCCGCGUGAGUGAAGAAGGUUUUCGGAUCGUAAAGCUCUGUUGUAAGAGAAGAACGAGUGUGAGAGUGGAAAGUUCACACUGUGACGGUAUCUUACCAGAAAGGGACGGCUAACUACGUGCCAGCAGCCGCGGUAAUACGUAGGUCCCGAGCGUUGUCCGGAUUUAUUGGGCGUAAAGCGAGCGCAGGCGGUUAGAUAAGUCUGAAGUUAAAGGCUGUGGCUUAACCAUAGUACGCUUUGGAAACUGUUUAACUUGAGUGCAAGAGGGGAGAGUGGAAUUCCAUGUGUAGCGGUGAAAUGCGUAGAUAUAUGGAGGAACACCGGUGGCGAAAGCGGCUCUCUGGCUUGUAACUGACGCUGAGGCUCGAAAGCGUGGGGAGCAAACAGGAUUAGAUACCCUAGUAGUC